GGUGGUUUUGGUGAUAAGAGAAGGAAGACAAAGAAGAGGAAGCUAACCUAACAAAGAUUGGCUUAAAACAAGGUACAAGUGAUCAAGGCAGCCAAGAGAUAAGGUUAGGUCAGUGAAGAUAGAUCCGACUGGAGCAGGAUAUCUCUAGUUUAUGUUACAUAUGUACAGUCAUAUGUUAUUGUUGAAUUUUGACUUUUUUGAGAUGGUUGUAUAGUUGUAUAUGAUUACUUUAUACUUUUAAACGCUUUUCGAUGAGUUUUUAUAUAUGAUAUAUACAUUUUUUGUUC